ACUCCUACGGGAGGCAGCAGUGGGGAAUAUUGGACAAUGGGCGCAAGCCUGAUCCAGCCAUGCCGCGUGAGUGAUGAAGGCCCUAGGGUUGUAGAGCUCUUUCACCGGUGAAGAUAAUGACGGUAACCGGAGAAGAAGCCCCGGCUAACUUCGUGCCAGCAGCCGCGGUAAUACGAAGGGGGCUAGCGUUGUUCGGAUUUACUGGGCGUAAAGCGCACGUAGGCGGACUAUUAAGUCAGGGGUGAAAUCCCGGGGCUCAACCCCGGAACUGCCUUUGAUACUGGUAGUCUUGAGUUCGAGAGAGGUGAGUGGAAUGCCGGGUGUAGAGGUGAAAUUCGUAGAUAUUCGGAGGAACACCAGUGGCGAAGGCGGCUCACUGGCUCGAUACUGACGCUGAGGUGCGAAAGCGUGGGGAGCAAACAGGAUUAGAUACCCGGGUAGUCCC
rnacentral:rRNA from 1 species